rnacentral:rRNA from 1 species
GACGAACGCUGGCGGCGUGCUUAACACAUGCAAGUCGAACGGUGAAGCCCUUCGGGGUGGAUCAGUGGCGAACGGGUGAGUAACACGUGAGCAACCUGCCCCUGGCUCUGGGACAACCACUGGAAACGGUGGCUAAUACCGGAUACGACCCGCCUCGGCAUCGAGUGUGGGUGGAAAGUUUUUCGGCUAGGGAUGGGCUCGCGGCCUAUCAGCUUGUUGGUGAGGUGAAGGCUCACCAAGGCGACGACGGGUAGCCGGCCUGAGAGGGCGACCGGCCACACUGGGACUGAGACACGGCCCAGACUCCUACGGGAGGCAGCAGUGGGGAAUAUUGCACAAUGGGCGAAAGCCUGAUGCAGCGACGCCGCGUGAGGGAUGACGGCCUUCGGGUUGUAAACCUCUUUCAGCUCCGAAGAAGCGAAAGUGACGGUAGGAGCAGAAGAAGCACCGGCUAACUACGUG